rnacentral:sRNA from 4 species
CUGAAGCCUGACGAGGAUGAGAACCUCCGGGGGCAAGAGGUUCGACUCGAGCGCAGCGAGAGAACGUUGCGUCAGCAACGGCCCGCAGGGCGAGCCACGCAGUGGCGAGUCAUCCUCUAUCACCGACCA